rnacentral:rRNA from 1 species
GAUGAACGCUGGCGGCGUGCCUAAUACAUGCAAGUCGAGCGGACGGACCAGAAGUUUGCUCCUCUGGUUGUAGCGGGCGACGGGUGAGUCACAUGUGGACAAACUACUCAUAAGACUGGGAUAACUUUGGGAAACCCGAGCUAAUACCGGAUAAUUUUUUGAACCGCAUUGUUCCAAAGUGAAAUACGGUCUUUCUGUCUCUUAUAGAUUGAUCCGCGCUGCAUUAGUUAGUUGGUUAGGUAACGGCUUACCCAGGCAACGAUGCAUAACCGACCUGAGAGGGUGAUCGGCCACACUGGAACUGAGACACGGUCCAGACUCCUACGGGAGGCAGCAGUAGGGAAUCUUCCGCAAUGGGCGAAAGCCUGACGGAGCAACGCCGCGUGAGUGAUGAAGGUCCUCGGACCGUAAAACUCUGUUAUUAGGGAAGAACAUAUGUGUAAGUAACUGUGCACAUCUUGACGGUACCUAAUCAGAAAGCCACGGCUAACUACGUG